UACGUAGGGUGCGACGUGUCCGGAUUAUUGGGCGUAAAGGAGCUCGUAGGCGGCUUGUCGGCGUCGGGAUGUGAAAAGCCCGGGGCUUAACCCCGGGUCUCAUUCGAUACGGGGCAGGCUAGAGUUCGGUAGGGGGAGAUCGGAAUUCCUGGUGUAGCGGUUGGAAAUGACGCAGAUAUUCAGGAGGAACAGCCGGUGGCGAAGGCGGGGACUCUGG
rnacentral:rRNA from 1 species